rnacentral:rRNA from 1 species
UACGGAGGGAGCGAGCGUUGUCCGAAGUUACUGGGCGUAAAGGGCUCGUAGGUGGCCAACUAAGUCAUACGUGAAAUCCCUCGGCUUAACCGGGGAACUGCGUCUGAUACUGGAUGGCUUGAGGUUGGGAGAGGGAUGCGGAAUUCCAGGUGUAGCGGUGAAAUGCGUAGAUAAUCUGGAGGAACACCGGUGGCGAAGGCGGCAUCCUGGACCAUUACUGACACUGAAAAGCGAAAGCCCAGGGGAGCAAACGGG